GAUGAACGCUGGCGGCGUGCCUAAUACAUGCAAGUCGAGCGAACUGAUUAGAAGCUUGCUUCUAUGACGUUAGCGGCGGACGGGUGAGUAACACGUGGGCAACCUGCCUGUAAGACUGGGAUAACUUCGGGAAACCGAAGCUAAUACCGGAUAGGAUCUUCUCCUUCAUGGGAGAUGAUUGAAAGAUGGUUUCGGCUAUCACUUACAGAUGGGCCCGCGGUGCAUUAGCUAGUUGGUGAGGUAACGGCUCACCAAGGCAACGAUGCAUAGCCGACCUGAGAGGGUGAUCGGCCACACUGGGGCUGAGACACGGCCCAGACUCCUACGGGAGGCAGCAGUAGGUAAUCUUCCGCAAUGGACGAAAGUCUGACGGAGCAACGCCGCGAGAGUGAUGAAGGCUUUCGGGUCGUAAAACUCUGUUGUUAGGGAAGAACAAGUACGAGAGUAACUGCUCGUACCUUGACGGUACCUAACCAGAAAGCCACGGCUAACUACGUGCCAGCCGCCGCAGUAA
rnacentral:rRNA from 1 species